rnacentral:rRNA from 1 species
AACGUAGGACGCGAGCGUUAUCCGGAGUUACUGGGCGUAAAGCGCGGGCAGGCGGUCUGACAAGUCUGAUGUGAAAUCUCCGGGCUUAACCGGGAGAGGCCAUUGGAAACUGACAGGCUGGAGGGCAGUAGAGGUAGGCGGAAUUCCGGGUGGAGUGGUGAAAUGCGUAGAGAUCCGGAGGAACACCAGAGGCGAAGGCGGCCUACUGGGCUGCACCUGACGCUGAGCCGCGAAAGCCAGGGGAGCGAACGGGA